rnacentral:rRNA from 1 species
AGCGAACCUGCGAAGGCAAGCGGAUCUCUUAAAGCCGUUCUCAGUUCGGACUGUAGGCUGCAACUCGCCUACACGAAGCUGGAAUCGCUAGUAAUCGCGGAUCAGCACGCCGCGGUGAAUACGUUCCCGGGCCUUGUACACACCGCCCGUCACACCAUGAGAGUUGGGAAUACCCGAAGCCUGUGAGCUAACUUUUAGAGGCAGCAGUCGAAGGUAGAAUCAAUGAUUGGGGUGAAGUCGUAACAAGGUAUC